CGAGCAUAUUUGGCUAUUUUUUUAACAUACAUAAAAUAUAUAUAAUAAAAAGUAUUUACAGAACAGGUUUGGCAGAAAAGCAUAUAAAUACAAGUUUUCCCCCCAUCUAAACUCGCCUCUUUUUUUUCAGUCGACUGUGUUUCGUUCCUAUGAAAUUUCAUAAUACUAAGGAAAUUCCUGAAGCGAAUGUACAACUACAAAAUGUGGAUUCAGUGGGCUCACCAAAUGCGUAUUUAGCUUUGAUGUUCGUUCAGCUCCUCUACGUAAGCAAUAUGCAUUUUAAAGUGGAAGGUGAAGGGAUCUACUGGAAUCUCUUACUUUUUGCUUCUGUUUAUGGCUUUAUCGGAGCGUGGCUGACCUCUACUUAUAGUGUGUUGCCGUAUAGCCCGGAUAUUACGUAUAGCAAAUUUAUAUACUAUUCCUAUUUCACCGUGGAACCAUUUUGGAUUUUUUUUGAGUUUACAAUAUUGUAUUGCAACUACCUUAAAUUAAAAGCAGUACUAACACCAGGCUCGAAAAGAAUCAAGUUACUUAAAUGGUUGCUAACUUUUGCAACGUUAGCCUUUUCUGGAGGGAGAAUAUAUAUAAGUUUUGUUAGAUUUCAAACCAGAAUGCUUGAAAAUGACGCAAUUCACAAAGCACAUAUAUUAGCUUGGGCCAUACUAUUUUCAAUGGAGUUACUUUUUUCAAUUAGCAUUCUUUGUAUAUCCUAUAAAAAUUACAAAGGUCAUUUAAAAACUGGCGGAGAAGGCCCAUCUUUUUUUGUAACACUUUUUAAAAGUAAUUUAUUUGUACUUUUUAGUCUUGACGUGUUCGGUUGCUGCUUAGCAGUGACAGCUUACUUUAAUCAAGUAAACAGCUUCGUAAAAAGUCUCGCAGAUAUUUUAAAUAUUAUGAAAAGCUCGUUCCCUUUGCUUUUGGCGACGGACGCGCUCUGCAUAAAAAUUCAACAGCGAAACCAAACGGAUCAACGGAAAGCACUUUUAAGUUGACAGAUUUUUACAUGAAGUAAUAAAAACCAAU